rnacentral:rRNA from 1 species
GAUCAUGGCUCAGGAUGAACGCUGGCGGCGUGCCUAACACAUGCAAGUCGAGCGGAUCUUGCUAAAUGACGCUUCGGUUGAUUUAGUAAGUGAGAGCGGCGGACGGGUGAGUAACGCGUAGGCAACCUGCCCUUUGCAGAGGGAUAGCCAUUGGAAACGAUGAUUAAAACCUCAUAAUGCCAGACUGAGACAUCUCUAACUGGCCAAAGAUUUAUCGGCAAAGGAUGGGCCUGCGUCUGAUUAGCUAGUUGGUGGGGUAACGGCCUACCAAGGCGACGAUCAGUAGCCGACCUGAGAGGGUGAUCGGCCACAUUGGAACUGAGAUACGGUCCAGACUCCUACGGGAGGCAGCAGUGGGGAAUAUUGGGCAAUGGGCGAAAGCCUGACCCAGCAACGCCGCGUGAAGGAAGAAGGCCUUCGGGUUGUAAACUUCUUUUAGCAGGGACGAAGAACGUGACGGUACCUGCAGAAAAAGCAACGGCUAACUACGUG